rnacentral:rRNA from 1 species
AGAGUUUGAUCCUGGCUCAGGAUGAACGCUAGCGACAGGCUUAACACAUGCAAGUCGAGGGGCAGCACAGGUAGCAAUACCGGGUGGCGACCGGCGCACGGGUGAGUAACGCGUAUGCAACUUACCUAUCAGAGGGGGAUAACCCGGCGAAAGUCGGACUAAUACCGCAUGAAGCAGGGGUCCCGCAUGGGGAUAUUUGCUAAAGAUUCAUCGCUGAUAGAUAGGCAUGCGUUCCAUUAGGCAGUUGGCGGGGUAACGGCCCACCAAACCGACGAUGGAUAGGGGUUCUGAGAGGAAGGUCCCCCACAUUGGUACUGAGACACGGACCAAACUCCUACGGGAGGCAGCAGUGAGGAAUAUUGGUCAAUGGGCGUAAGCCUGAACCAGCCAAGUCGCGUGAGGGAUGAAGGUUCUAUGGAUCGUAAACCUCUUUUAUAAGGGAAUAAAGUGCGGGACGUGUCCCGUUUUGUAUGUACCUUAUGAAUAAGGAUCGGCUAACUCCGUGCCAGCAGCCGCGGUAAUACGGAGGAUCCGAGCGUUAUCCGGAUUUAUUGGGUUUAAAGGGUGCGUAGGCGGCCUUUUAAGUCAGCGGUGAAAGUCUGUGGCUCAACCAUAGAAUUGCCGUUGAAACUGGGGGGCUUGAGUAUGUUUGAGGCAGGCGGAAUGCGUGGUGUAGCGGUGAAAUGCUUAGAUAUCACGCAGAACCCCGAUUGCGAAGGCAGCCUGCCAAGCCAUGACUGACGCUGAUGCACGAAAGCGUGGGGAUCAAACAGGAUUAGAUACCCUGGUAGUCCACGCAGUAAACGAUGAUCACUAGCUGUUUGCGAUACACGGUAAGCGGCACAGCGAAAGCGUUAAGUGAUCCACCUGGGGAGUACGCCGGCAACGGUGAAACUCAAAGGAAUUGACGGGGGCCCGCACAAGCGGAGGAACAUGUGGUUUAAUUCGAUGAUACGCGAGGAACCUUACCCGGGCUUAAAUUGCAAAUGAAUAAUCUGGAAACAGGUUAGCCGCAAGGCAUUUGUGAAGGUGCUGCAUGGUUGUCGUCAGCUCGUGCCGUGAGGUGUCGGCUUAAGU